rnacentral:rRNA from 1 species
AUUCAACGCUGGCGGCAGGCUUAACACAUGCAAGUCGAGCGGGGUGAUGGUGCUUGCACUAUCACUUAGCGGCGGACGGGUGAGUAAUGCUUAGGAAUCUGCCUAUUAGUGGGGGACAACAUCUCGAAAGGGAUGCUAAUACCGCAUACGUCCUACGGGAGAAAGCAGGGGAUCACUUGUGACCUUGCGCUAAUAGAUGAGUCUAAGUCGGAUUAGCUAGUUGGUGGGGUAAAGGCCUACCAAGGCGACGAUCUGUAGCGGGUCUGAGAGGAUGAUCCGCCACACUGGGACUGAGACACGGCCCAGACUCCUACGGGAGGCAGCAGUGGGGAAUAUUGGACAAUGGGGGGAACCCUGAUCCAGCCAUGCCGCGUGUGUGAAGAAGGCCUUAUGGUUGUAAAGCACUUUAAGCGAGGAGGAGGCUCUUUUGGUUAAUACCCAAGAUGAGUGGACGUUACUCGCAGAAUAAGCACCGGCUAACUCUGUGCCAGCAGCCGCGGUAA